AUUGAAACAUCGGUUCCUGUAUGAUCACCGAAGUUAAGCAACCUUAAGCCUGGUCAGUAGCUCAAUUGGUGACCGCUUUGCAAUACCAGGUGCUGCAAG